rnacentral:rRNA from 1 species
GGGAAUCUGCCCUUAGGUUCGGAAUAACAGUUAGAAAUGACUGCUAAUACCGGAUGAUGACGUAAGUCCAAAGAUUUAUCGCCUAGGGAUGAGCCCGCGUAGGAUUAGCUAGUUGGUGUGGUAAAGGCGCACCAAGGCGACGAUCCUUAGCUGGUCUGAGAGGAUGAUCAGCCACACUGGGACUGAGACACGGCCCAGACUCCUACGGGAGGCAGCAGUGGGGAAUAUUGGACAAUGGGCGCAAGCCUGAUCCAGCAAUGCCGCGUGAGUGAUGAAGGCCUUAGGGUUGUAAAGCUCUUUUACCCGGGAUGAUAAUGACAGUACCGGGAGAAUAAGCCCCGGCUAACUCCGUGCCAGCAGCCGCGGUAAUACGGAGGGGGCUAGCGUUGUUCGGAAUUACUGGGCGUAAAGCGCACGUAGGCGGCUUUGUAAGUUAGAGGUGAAAGCCUGGAGCUCAACUCCAGAACUGCCUUUAAGACUGCAUCGCUUGAAUCCAGGAGAGGUGAGUGGAGUUCCGAGU